ensembl:lncRNA
GGUGCCAUUCCUGCUACCAGCAGGGUUUGUUUGCCGUGGGAGUGUCUGGGAAUUUUAGCUGUGACACUAUUGAUCCCCAAGGGAUACAUUUAUCUCAGUGGCCUCCAUUGCAAGGCCACGACAUAAGGUCUGCUACACUACGUUGUCCUUGUAGCUGAAGGGGACUCGAGGCUUCUCUGACCACUAAGUCGCCCCCCCCACCAACCCAAAACCGCUUUGCCCAUUUCAGAGGAGUGUGUGUUACCGAUGGCUUGCGGUGUACGGCGGCGGCUGAGAGGAUUGUAAGGGAUCGUGGAGGAUUGGCCUGAUUGGAUUUCCGUAGCGGGAGUUCUGUCACCUGGCUCAGCAUGGCGCUUCUGAAAGGCAGCAGGGGAGCAAUCAGGCAGCAGUCACAUUGUGAAUAUACGGCAAAAUCUGCAGUCAGCCAUUGCAAAGAGACCCAUCUAUUAUUCUACACAGAAUAUGAAGAUACACUUCCUGAUUCCCAUGAUUUGGAAAAGGUACCAAACGGCUAUUGAGGGACAUGCUCAUUUGCUUUAAAUGAUGAAGAUCGACCAUCCAUUGUUAACCAGGCGGCUCUGGUAAUUGCCCCAAUAGGUUG